ACUUUCAGAAAUUAUCGCAACCAGUCGGGGCCAUUAACUCAGCCUCUUUCCAGUACCGCUAAUCUUGACUGGUGAACAAACGCGCUUCUCUAAAUACCCUCUUCCAUUGCAAUCCCUCUCUCGCUUCUGCCGCUUAUUAGCCGACGACACUGCUCAAGGAAGAUCAAGAACAACCGUGCUCUGUUUUUUCUGUUUACCCCUUUCUUGCUUCCCUGCUCAACUAAGAUCAAGAACAAACGUGCUCGGGCUUCUUCCUGUCUUGUGUUUCUAAUCAAGCCGAUCCAUCAUGUCGUUGUGAGUAAUACAGUAGUUGAAGAUGAAUAAGGAUAACUCUGGGAAAGUACAACUGAUUGCGCGCUCGAUCUCUUCAAAUGUAAGCGUGUCUCUAUUAUUGCAAUCCUGGUUGCAGUGGGUAAUGAAGUUCUUUGCCAACUCUAACAUUCCUAAGCCAUUGUCUUCAUAUGUUUUCUUUUCAUCCUCUCUCUUUUUGAUCACCCUUUUGAAGGCAUUUCUCAUUCUCACCGGCAAACAAUCGAUUCUAUCUUUUAUCUUAUCAUGUCUGUGAGCAUUAGCACAAGAUGCCUUGAAACUGUCUAGCCCAUCUUUUUCUUCAAUCAAAAACAACCAGAAAUGGUAGAUUCUCAUUAACCUUUGCCUCAUAAAUUGAACAAAUGGAUGUUCUCCCAUAUGUUUGAGAUAUUUCCUGCAUUGAACAGUAAAGUAUCAAAGUCUACUUCUCUGACAUAUCUAUGCUAUAUGCAUAUCAUACUUACUGAUAUACUUGUAUAUAUAUACUGCAUACUUAAUGACAUAGCCGUGAUAAGUUUCAAAAAUGAUGCUCCAAAACAUAAACAUGUUGUUCAUUAUAGUUUUAGAGGAAGUAAAGCUAUUUUCAUUGUUAUGGCUUUUAUCAAGCUCUAUGGUAUGUAUAGCCACAUACAUGAUUGUUGGCUAAUUGAGGCUUGGUGAGUAAAACACAAUUUUUGGAACACUCGAAUUGAUGGAUAUUGUACAUUAAAGUUUUGCCUUUAUCCAUACUGGUAUUGAGUAUAUAGGAUUGGUUGUAAAUAAAGAUAUUUUACUUUUGGUGUUGUUUCCA